CCGCCAGUGAGUACAGAUAGAAACGACGGCGAACCGAGAUCCUGCCCCGAGUAGGCCUCAGCUUGUGAAAGCGACUGCGCCAGGUCACGUUCAUCUGCUAACGAACGAACGAAUAAGGAAAACACAACGUCAGCUCAUGCUUAUAUUCACAGAAAUGAUGUUGCAGAUUCCUAAUUAUAUCAUCUAUUUAAGUAAGCUUUGUCUGUAGGUCAUCAUAUGAAAUCGGUUUGGAAUCCUAAAGAAAAUACGUUGGUUACAGUGCAGCUUUAGCUAAUAAACACGUAAAUUUGAAUUCAUGGA